rnacentral:lncRNA from 1 species
AUUAAGUCGUUGAUAAAAUGCCAAUUUAUUGGGAUUUUGGAGGGUUAGAAACGUUGCAAGAAUGUGUUGUAUUGAAUUUUAUCCUUGUGUGAAUGUGAGGGAAAGAGUUGUGAAGAUUGUACUUUGUUAAAAAACAUAUUUUUAUAAAGUUGAAAUACAGAGCUGGUGCAUAAGAGAAAUUAUUGCAUGCCGGUGCAUGCACGGCCACGCUAGUGCAUGCUACCAAUCACUAUGACUUGUUAGCAUGAGUUCCAUUCAUUCUGUGCUCGUCUCAGUGAUUGGCCCACAACAAGACACCUUGGGCAUUAGUGGCAUGCAUGGUCAUGCUGGGGCCCGCGCCAUAAUUUUUUCAUAUGCAAACAUCUUGUUGCAUUAUGGUAUUUUCGUGAAUGAAUGUCACGUCCCAAAUUCGAGGCAUAAUACGUCCAUGAUACCGAGGAAUACAACCUACGAUAACACAAAGUCAACCACUACAUUUAGCUUUCAAAUCCAUUUCAAACAAAAUAUAAUAAAUAAAAGUCCAAUUUCACCAUCCAUUAAAUAAAACUAAAAAAUACUAGUUCAAAGUGACUAAAUCCAAAUAUAAAUACCAAACCCAUAAUUCUCGA